rnacentral:sRNA from 1 species
AUGUACCCACGUACACUCCGGUUCCUCCGCGCCGUCCGCACUCACCUGACGACUGCUCGCUACGUUUUGUUUGCC